CGAGAGUUUUUGCUCUAUAAAAUCCGUCUUCCAUCAAGCUCCGAAAAUCUUGACCUGCUUUCGCAAAAAAAAUGUCUAAACGCUGCAUUCUCUUUCUCCAGCGCCUACGACCUCGGACAAUGACGAGUCGUGUUUUCCUGGCUCUUGGGCCUCCUCAAAGAGAUGUCACUUCGCGAAGCCGUGCAGAUUCUUGGUGCGCAGCCAUGACGUUACCGACCAGUAAAUCGUGGCGAUACCAGGUGGUUACAAUUUAGCACCCACUCACUCAACGCCCACGGCAUACUGCGAAUCGGAGCUGGACUGCACGUCACGAGGAGAUGAUGGCAAAGCACACGAUAAGGAAUUCUUAAACUAUUAUCUAGCAUAAAUAAAAACAAUCGUUGAACAUUCCAUGUAUAUUUUUUUCUUAGUGCACCAGCAGAUUCGUCUUUUCAAAAUCGUCAACAACACAAACCCAGCUUCUUGACAGUAAGACCAUGCUACGUGCAUUGCGGGAAAGCUUUGAAAACUACGGUCACACAACGAUUUUUGAACUAGUGAAAUUCAGAGACGAUCUGAGUACUAGAUCUUAAACAGCUGUUUUGUUUAUUAUUAUAUAAAUUACCAUUACCAACGGUUCUUUCCUAGCUUCGCGAAGUCGUUUAGAGUGGAUAAAGGUACUUUCAAAAUGAUUUUGCAAUUGGCUGCAACAAUGCAAUUCCUAGCUACUGGCUGCUACCAGUUGUCAGUUGCCAAGGACCACCACAUUAACAUUGGACGCAUUUUUUUUUUAAUUCUCCAUUUAUUUUUUCCCUUAAUGGACAGGUUUUUAUGUCAAGAUGAAAUUUCCAUACAUAUGACCGACCGUCAAAUGCAGACAUCUCGAGAACACUUGUGUGGAUGAAACUCACAUCAAAAUUCAGAAGCCAAUACAAAAUUACUCAGUAUUCUGUAUUAGAAAAGGAUAUUACAUCUUAAACGCCAAGGUGGUUUGCAAUUAUAACAUGGAGAUAAUCGCCAUUGUUUCCACCCAUCCUCGGUCCUGCCAUGACUCUUUUAUCUGAAACCACUCCAGUGCAAGAUAAGAUUUGUCUAAGACCUUAAACGGACAUCUUGUUCUAGCUGACUCUGGUACGCUGCAAAGAGCUUCGUAUUGACUCCACACAGGAACUCACAGAAUGGGACGCAUCAGCAUCAAUUUAAUUUAAAGAAUUUUAUCGAGUGCACUAUUAAUGUCCUUUAAAGUCGUUUUCGUUGCCAAGAAGAUUGAAUUAUGAGCCCAUGUUUUGUUGCCACAUUGUUAAUGUCUGCUGUGCACUGCAAAACAUUUGUAAAAAGCGAAUUUGGCAAGUCGAGGCACUCACUUUGACUACAUUGAAGAGGCCGCAGUUGAAUCAGAAUUGGAUGAUAGCAUUAGUGGAUUAUCCGUACGCGGUGAAAAUGCUCCAGCUCCUCUUAUAUAAUAAAUAAAUCGAUCAUAACUCUAAAUAUUUUUCAAAUUUGCUCAACACUUGUGCACAUUUUUCUAUAAAGACCUGUUUUAAUUCAGUGUCUUGCUAUUUUUGUUCAGUGUGUUCCUUUUGCAAAGUGUCCGAUUUCAUGCUCGGUCAUUGUUGUCAGCUUGGACAUCAUGUUCAACUGAGCUGACACAGUCAGUUAAGGUCAGCGCAACUGGAGUUAAGCGGCAGCGCUUCGACAUUGUCUCCUCGCCGGUAUCCACAUGUGGAUGUUCUUCACCAUCACCGGCAUUUACGACUGUUAAGACAUGGAACGACAGCAUAAGCUAUCAUGUCUUUCCGAUGGGGAGACCGAGAAGUUGCUGAAUUCAAUUGGUUUUAUAAUUGAUACGGACGGAGAAAAUGAAUUGGAUAACGACUUGACUGUUGAUGCUUUUGAGGCAGCGUUUCCUGUCGAUGAGGAAGAUGAAAAAGGGAUUGAAAAAGCUAUAAAUAUGUUGUAUUCCGUGCUGGUAUGUGCAACUUCAAGCGGAUCUCCUGAUCGGUUGGGGAACCUGUUGUCACCCUCAACUUCGAUUGCAUCGAAUUUGCCUCAAAUACAAAAACGCAAGCGCAAAGCGCCUGCUGAGUAUGAUAUUGGUCAUGCUGAAGAAAGCGCAACCGCCGAACUUGUAGGAUAUGU